rnacentral:tRNA from 1 species
GGAGGAGUGGCCGAGUGGUUUAAGGCACCUGACUUGAAAUCAGACGUUGGCGCAAGCUGACCGUGGGUUCGAAUCCCUCCUCCUCCGCCA